rnacentral:lncRNA from 1 species
GUCCGAGAGAACGCCAAGGCUUGCGUGGAAAAGGAACGCGCGCAUAACACAGGCUCGCGAGAGCAACAGAGAGGUUGGCAUGGCAACGCGGCGAUG